rnacentral:rRNA from 1 species
CACGGGGGGAGCAAGCGUUGUUCGGAAUCACUGGGCGUAAAGGGCGUGUAGGCGGUCAAGUAAGUGGAAUGUGAAAGCCCCCGGCUUACCCGGGGAUCUGCAUCCCAAACUGCUUGGCUUGAGUACGGGAGAGGAUAGGGGAAUUCCUGGUGUAGCGGUGAAAUGCGUAGAUAUCCGGAAGAACACCGAUGGCGAAGGCAACCACCUGGGCCUGAUACUGACGCUGAGGUACGAAGCGUGGGGAAGCAAACAGGG